CCGUUUCUGGGUCAGGUGCUGUUUUACCUUGGUGUUUGCAUCGCCGUUGGUGGCGCUGGUGCUGGAGUAGUCGUCUUCGCCGAACGCGGGAUCGACCUUCGCGGAGCGGC
rnacentral:tRNA from 1 species